rnacentral:tRNA from 1 species
GCCACCCUAGCUCAGUUGGUAGAGCACACGACUGAAAAUCGUGGUGUCCCCAGUUCGAUUCUGGGGGGUGGCACCA